GGAGUCUGGGCCGUGUCUCAGUCCCAAUGUGGCCGAUCGACCUCUCAGUCCGGCUACCGAUCGUCGGCAUGGUGAGCCGUUGCCUCACCAUCUACCUAAUCGGACGCGAGCCCAUCUCUCAGCGAUAAAUCUUUGAUGUUUUCGUCAUGCGGCAAAAACAUGUCAUGAGGUAUUAUCAAUCGUUUCCAACUGUUAUCCCUCUCUGAGAGGCAGGUUGCUCACGUGUUACUCACCCGUCCGCCACUAAGUCUGCUGAAUCGUCAUUCCGAAGAAAUCAGUCUCGGCAGCUUCGUUCGACUUGCAUGUGUUAGGCACGCCGCCAGCGUUCGUCCUCGAGCCAUGAUCAAACUACA
rnacentral:rRNA from 1 species